rnacentral:rRNA from 1 species
UACGUAGGGGGCAAGCGUUGUCCGGAAUCAUUGGGCGUAAAGAGCGUGUAGGCGGCUUGGUAAGUCCGCUGUGAAAGUCCAGGGCUCAACCCUGGAAAGCCGGUGGAAACUGUCAAGCUUGAGUCCGGAAGAGGCGAGUGGAAUUCCUGGUGUAGCGGUGAAAUGCGCAGAUAUCAGGGGGAACACCAAUGGCGAAGGCAGCUCGCUGGGACGGUACUGACGCUGAGACGCGAAAGCGUGGGGAGCAAACAGG